rnacentral:misc_RNA from 1 species
UGCCAAGAGACCUAAAUUUUCGAGGUGAAAGGACCACAUCACGCCGUUUUCUUGUGGAUUAUUUGGGGUAUCGAUUUAAGAAGUGCAAAAAUGCAAGACUUGUUCUUGUACAAAAACCAGAUAUUGCUGCCUGGAGGGAUAGGUACCUACGUCGCAAAAAAGAAAAUCAAGAUUUAUGUGCUAAUAAAAAGCCUAUCACAUAUUUAGACGAAACGUAGAUCCAUUCCCACUAUACCGUGCGAAAAUGUUGGCAGAAU